GCGCUUGCGGCGCUGGUCGAAUCGCAUCCCAGCGAAGAGGGGCUCUUUCUCCAGCUGGCUUUGCUGGAGCGACGCCUGGGUGC
rnacentral:misc_RNA from 1 species